rnacentral:ncRNA from 1 species
AUGAAAAGGGGUGCUGACGGCAGUCGGCUGAGAAUAAGUUUUAGCAACUUUAAACCCUAUAACCUGAUACGGAUAAUGCCGGCGUAGGAAUUUCUAAAUAU